rnacentral:rRNA from 1 species
UGCGUAGGCGGAUUAAUAAGUCAGUGGUGAAAACCUGCAGCUUAACUAUAGACUUGCCAUUGAUACUGUUAGUCUUGAGUACGGUCAAGGUAGGCGGAAUGUGUAAUGUAGCGGUGAAAUGCUUAGAUAUUACACAGAACACCGAUUGCGAAGGCAGCUUACUGGGCCAUUACUGACGCUGAGGCACGAAAGCGUGGGGAGCGAACAGGAUUAGAUACCCUGGUAGUC